rnacentral:rRNA from 1 species
GAUCAGGCUGUUGGUGAGGUAAUGGCCCACCAAACCUGUAACCGGUACGGGCUCUGAGAGGAGGAGCCCGGAGAUGGGCACUGAGACAAGGGCCCAGGCCCUAUGGGGCGCAGCAGGCGCGAAACCUCUGCAAUAGGCGAAAGCUUGACAGGGUUACUCUGAGUGAUUUCCGUUAAGGAGAUCUUUUGGCACCUCUAAAAAUGGUGCAGAAUAAGGGGUGGGCAAGUCUGGUGUCAGCCGCCGCGGUAAUACCAGCACCCCGAGUGGUCGGGACGUUUAUUGGGCCUAAAGCAUCCGUAGCCGGUUCUACAAGUCUUCCGUUAAAUCCACCUGCUUAACAGAUGGGCUGCGGAAGAUACUAUAGAGCUAGGAGGCGGGAGAGGCAAGCGGUACUCGAUGGGUAGGGGUAAAAUCCGUUGAUCCAUUGAAGACCACCAGUGGCGAAGGCGGCUUGCCAGAACGCGCUCGACGGUGAGGGAUGAAAGCUGGGGGUGCAAACCGGAUUAGAUACCCGGGUAGUCCCAGCUGUAAACGAUGCAGACUCGGUGAU